ensembl:antisense 1700034P13Rik RIKEN cDNA 1700034P13 gene
GAUGCUGACAGAACCCGAGGCCGGGAAGAAGAGGCGCGCCUGGCACUUGGGAUCCGGGCAACUCCCGGAAAGGAUUCUUCGGUCCCUUCGUUUCGAAAGGCCCCCCGGAGAAGCCGCCGCCGCCGCCAGAGACGACGAAGUCUGCGGAGCCUCAGGGGGAGGCGGCGGCGGCGGCAGCGGAGGAGGCGGCGGCGGCUGAGACAUCGCUCUCGGCUCUCGCUCGGCGUCCCAAGCGACCCUCAAAGGCACAUAGCCAGACCUCCGCCGGCCCGACGAGGUCUAGUCCAGGCCCAGGGCGAAUGGCUUUCCUUUUCCUACCAGUUCCUCCUCCUCCUAGGCGAAGGCGGAAGCGCCGGACGUUGUUUCUCUUCUCACUUCUCCACUGCCUUAGCCGUUGCCCCGAACGUAACGGCCACCACCCCACCCCGCACUCACACUCACUCACUCUCGCUCUCUCCCUCAGACACAGACAUACACGCCCUCACUGAGACUGCGCAGGCGUAGCUUCUGCUCUGCCCUCUGGGAACCAGAGUCUUCCGGCUCCUCUCUCGCGAAGGAGUGCUAGGCGCUUCCGUCCAGAAAGAACUUCAAAUACCGUGAUGCAAAGCGACUCGACGCACGCGGGGAGGAGGAAGAGGAAGGCACUCGGAAGAGGACAAGUGGUGGCUCCAGACUGUCUGAAGACAGGAGUCUGUCAAGUGUCUGCUUUAAGAAAUCAGGUGUGCUGGCUGCUCCUAACUCUCAGAAGAAUGGGGAAGGGAGAUAAAGGAAGCCUUUCAGGCAGCACUGCUGACUGCCAUGGGAGGUUCUGGGUACCCUGGGGAGCGCAGAGCCUCCGACAGAAUGGCCUUCACUGAACUGAGUCAGUCCCACCAGAAAGAAGCUAUCAUGGAUUAAAAUGUUUGGUAAACCAGGAGCCAUCUACUGCUUGGGUGAUCAUCUUAUGCUAUGACUGUGACCUAAGUGGAGAGGCUUUAAACAAUGCCGCUAGAACCGUUCCACAGCUCCAGGGUGAGAUGGGGUCAGUUUUAUCACCCAGCUCUGUGGAGGCUUUGGUUGAAGUUCCACUAGUAAAUUGUCAACCUUUCUGCCUCAGAUCAGCAAGCCUUCCCAACACAAGACUUCGCAGAUGACCCUUUCAACAGAUACGAGGACAAUUCAACAGAGGAGUGGAACCUGUGGACAUGGAAGACACUGAAAAUAUACUCCAUCUUCAGAACAGCUGAGACACUAUACAAUUACUAUCUUCACUUUACAGAUGACAGUUUGGAUGUGAACUUGGCAACAUUCCUAGGAAUUCAUAGCUGGUGACAAAAAAAUAUAUAGUCAAGGCCAAACAGUGC